UACGGGGGGAGCAAGCGUUGUUCGGAUUUACUGGGCGUAAAGGGCGCGUAGGCGGCCACCGCAAGUCGACUGUGAAAUCUCCGGGCUUAACCCGGAAAGGUCAGCCGAUACUGCGGGGCUAGAGUGCAGAAGGGGCAACUGGAAUUCCUGGUGUAGCGGUGAAAUGCGCAGAUAUCAGGAGGAACACCAGUGGCGAAGGCGGUGCUCUGGGCCGGAACUGACGCUGAGGAGCGAAAGCGUGGGGAGCAAACAGG
rnacentral:rRNA from 1 species